GGGGAGCGUGUGAGAAUGAAAGACUACAGCCGAGAGACAGUAAAAACCAGAAAGGAAAUUGCUUUGGAGAUGAGGAAACAAACUCUUAUGGAUUCUCUUCAGAGGACAAGAGAAGAUGUUACAUUCUCUGCAUGAGGACAAUUCUGCAGCAUCAAAAUCGAAUAAUAUUUGUUUUCUGGCAGCAGAAUUUUGUAUCAUAUUUCUAAAGACAGUAAGCACUUGGGUGGACGUCAAUGAAUACUAAACACUAAUUGAUCUGAUACAGCCGUAUGCACAUACACAGAUAUACAUGGUGGCUUGUAAUGGUUGAAAAAUUACGGUUUGGUUUUAUUAAAAGAUCUGUCACUUUUAGGUCAGAGUGGGAUUUUGGAGGGAUAGUCUCCCACAAUAGAAAACUACCCUGACAACAGUGGUGUUUUGAGGUUGUUUGUUGUUUGGCUUCUUGAUGAUGCUUAGCUAAGGAGACACUUCCUUUCAGAUUCUGUCUUCCAAACCCCAGGGCUCUGUUCUGGGCAGUUCAGCCUAAUGGAAUUAAGCCUGACAUGUUUCAACUCUAUUUCUUGAUAAAAUAAACAUAAAACAAUGGUUUAGAUUUCGAAUAAAACUCUUGAAGCAUGGGG
rnacentral:lncRNA from 1 species